CCUACGCGUGGCAGCAGUGAGGAAUAUUGGUCAAUGGACGAGAGUCUGAACCAGCCAAGUAGCGUGAAGGAUGACUGCCCUAUGGGUUGUAAACUUCUUUUAUAUGGGAAUAAAAUGUUCCACGUGUGGGAUUUUGUAUGUACCAUAUGAAUAAGGAUCGGCUAACUCCGUGCCAGCAGCCGCGGUAAUACGGAGGAUCCGAGCGUUAUCCGGAUUUAUUGGGUUUAAAUGGAGCGUAGGUGGAUUGUUAAGUCAGUUGUGAAAGUUUGCGGCUCAACCGUAAAAUUGCAGUUGAAACUGGCAGUCUUGAGUACAGUAGAGGUGGGCGGAAUUCGUGGUGUAGCGGUGACAUGCUUAGAUAUCACGAAGAACUCCGAUUGCGAAGGCAGCUCACUGGACUGCAACUGACACUGAGGCUCGAAAGUGUGGGUAUCAAACAGGAUUAGAUACCCGUGUAGUC
rnacentral:rRNA from 1 species